rnacentral:rRNA from 1 species
GUGCCAGCCGCCGCGGUAAGACGUAGGGGGCUAGCGUUGUCCGGAAUUACUGGGCGUAAAGCGGGCGUAGGCGGCCGGCUAAGUCGGAUGUGAAAUCCCGGGGCUCAACUCCGGAACUGCAUUCGAUACUGGUCGGCUAGAGUUCGAGAGGGGGAUGCGGAAUUCCGCGUGUAGCAGUGAAAUGCGUAGAUAUGCGGAGGAACACCUGAGGCGAAGGCGGCAUCCUGGAUCGACACUGACGCUGAGGCCCGAAAGCGUGGGGAGCAAACAGGAUUAGAUACCCUGGUAGUCCACGCCCUAAACGAUGUCUACUAGCCGUUGCGGGUAUCGACCCCUGCAGUGGCGCAGCUAACGCGAUAAGUAGACCGCCUGGGGAGUACGGCCGCAAGGUUAAAACUCAAAUGAAUUGGCGGGG